ACACCGUUGGUGAAGUGGUUAUCAUGCUUGCCUUCCAUAUUGCAUUAGAACUCUCUCUUCAUAGCAAGCGGCUCGGGUUCGAUUCCCGAACGGUGUA